UCAAUAUUCAAUUAUACUGGUCGAGGCCAAGGUCGUCCAAAAAUUAGGUGGUUAUCUGAAGAUGAGUUACAUGUAGCACAUACUUAUGUGUUACGAAAUUGUCCAGAAGUAUAUCCAUAUUACAAGUGGGUUGAUUAUUUCACUUGAAGCGUGAUGGAUCGUUAUCAAGAUUCUAGGACAACAUCGGGACGGGGUCAGUCUGGACGUCGAUCUGGUGGUCGAUCGAAAUCCGGCCAUGGUGGCCGUUCCACAUCAGGCCGAGGUCCAUCCACCUCGAAUAUUCGUCAAAGAUCCGGUGACAACUCUGCAUCAAUACCAAAUACUAUGACGGAUUUGGGAAUGCCUCCUUGUAUACAUCCAAGCAUUCAACCAACAACAACAAUGACUCCCGCAUCACCAAUAACGCAACCUUCACCAGCUAUACCA